rnacentral:rRNA from 16 species
AUAACGAUACAGGGCCCAUUCGGGUCUUGUAAUUGGAAUGAGUACAAUGUAAAUACCUUAACGAGGAACAAUUGGAGGGCAAGUCUGGUGCCAGCAGCCGCGGUAAUUCCAGCUCCAA